GUGAAAUUGAGCUACAAGCCAUGUAAAAAUAUCCUUUUUCACUAGUUAAUUAUAGCAGAGACAUGAAUAUAUUUGGAUUUGUGGGGCUGGGCGAGGCAAAACAAAUUUGUUAGACCUUCCAUUUAUUUUAUUAUAUUUUAUAAAGCCACAUUGUUGGCCAUUUGCAUUUGGAGUUCCAACAAGUAAAGGGAGCAGAAACAUACCAGGGGCAUCAAGAAACUUCCAACCCAAUAGCUAUGAUGGAAUACUUGUACCCCUGCAACCAAAAGAUCAUCAAAGAAAAAACUAAACAAUUAAAUAUAACUUCACGCAGCCUCAUUCAGAAAAUAUAAACUUGCCCAAUAUAUAUAUAUAUAUUUUUUGGGCAAUUAAACUGCUGCUGACUACUUUCAAA
rnacentral:misc_RNA from 1 species